rnacentral:rRNA from 1 species
UGUGUAGGCGGCUUGUUAAGUUCCGUGUGAAAUCUCCUGGCUCAACUGGGAGGGUGCGCGGAAACUGGCGGGCUAGAGUGCGGGAUGGGAGAGUAGAAUUCCUGGUGUAGCGGUGAAAUGCGUAGAUAUCAGGAGGAAUACCGGUGGUGUAGACGGCUCUCUGGACCGUAACUGACGCUGAGACACGAAAGCGUGGGUAGCAAACAGGAUUAGAUACCCUGGUAGUCCACGCCCUAAACGAUGCAUAUUUGGUGUAGGUCAUUCAGUUGAUCUGUGCCGGAGCUAACGCGUUAAAUAUGCCGCCUGGGGAGUACAGUCGCAAGGCUGAA